GGAAAAAAAACAAAUAAGAACCCUACCUGAAAAUUUGGGGAAAAUCAAGAGAAAUCAAGAAAUCAAGCAUUGAAAAGGUAAAUUUCAUUGAUUUUCCUUGUGAUUUUCACUACCCACGCAUUUUUCUCAUUUCCAUGCAAAAUUAGAAAGUGGGUAUGGACACCCAUGCUGGCCAAACCUCCAUGGAUGAGUUUUGAGCUUGAGUUUUGGCUGAUUUUAAUUGAAUUAAGUGAUUUUAGUUAGGUUAUAUUGUAAUAUAACAAAAAUAAGCUAGAGAAAUAAUUUUCUCCCAUUGAAACCCAUUAUGCCGAAUUUUCCAAGGAGGCAAGUGAGCUGAUUUUGAUGAUUUUAGAAGGUUAUUGGCUGAUAUUUAAUGGUUAGAAAUAUUGGAGAGAAAAUAGGACAAUUUAGAGCUAAAAUGGAGCGUGUUAGCAAUUUAUCGGGUAAAGUGUCAAAGAUAGGUUAAUACCCCGUUUAAGCCGUUUUAGGCUAUUGCAUUUCAUACCAUGCAUUAGUAUAGGAUUUAAGUCAAUUAUAAAGUGAUUUAGUAUCAAUGUGGUAAAUUGUGUAAUUUUUACAAUGUGUCUAGGAGGAAAGCCUUCCGAUAAAGGCAAGGAAGUCGUACCCGACGAACAGUGAUCGGGGCACCUAGAAAGCAUUUAAUUUGUACAAACGGUGAGUAAACCUAUUAUUAUUGUAAAUUAUCUGGAGUUUAUUUUUAAAUGCUCUUUAUGUAUUUUAUGAAACGAAAAUGAGAUUAAAAUGGGACUUUUGAUGUUUUAGAAAUAAAUAUGACAAAUAAUAUAUUGUAUUGAUUAUCUGAAAUAAGAAACUUUUGAUUAUGAAAUUGAGUAAAUUGGAGGCUGUCAAUUGUCUUGAAAAGUAUAUUUUCCUGUGAAUGGCUUAUUAUAUAUGAGAAUAUGUGGCUAUAUUUUAUAAUUGCAUUGGGAAUUUAUGUAAGCUAUCUUUUACUAUGCAGGCUGGGUAAAUAAAUAAAAGCCACGUUAUACUGUCGAAAUUUUAUUAAAGUUGGUGGGUUUAGUCACUGCAGUGGCGGGUUUUCGUGGAAUGCCUAUUAGAGGGGCACGGUAAACCCGAUUAUAUAGUUACUCCUAUUGUAAAGGCGAUGAGGUAACUCCCAGGGUAGUGUUAGAGUUCACUUCACGUCGAAGCCCCACGUGAAUGUGUAACUCGGCCAAUGCCAAGGAACGGCUUGUUUUCAAAACUAACAUGUGUUUAACAUGUAAAUAUCUUAACAACCUUAGCGGACUCGGUUAGAUGCCUCAGCCAAGGUAUCACCCAGGAUUAGUUUUUGGCUUGAGCCAUGUUUUUAAUAAAAGUCAUAAGCCUUAACAACUGUUUUGGUAAAUUAUAAAUAUUUUAUGGUUUAAGAAAUAAAUUGAAAACCUUAUGAAAUGGUUUGUGAUUUGUUGUUUAAACUAGCCUCCAUUUUACUCGCCUUUAGAUAUUUAUAAUAAUGUCUGUUUACUCAUUGGGAUUGCAAAAUCUCACCCACCUCCUUUCCAAAUAUUUUAGGCCUGUGGUAGCUUGUAGAUACCCGAUUUUGUCGAGGAUUCCAGUUGACCCCUCUAUCCACAGACAGUAGGUUACUAUCACUAACACUUGG
rnacentral:lncRNA from 1 species